ACUAGACCGUCUAAGAAAUUUUGAAAUUGAAACGAAAGAAACGUAACCAAACCCUAACGCUCUCCACCCUCAACGCCACCGCAUCGCAACGCCAUAGCCGUCUCUGAAGCAGUGUUCCUCUGUCAACGUUAUAGAUCUCUCAACUCAGCACCGCCACAACCCUUUCAACUCAGUCGCUCUCGUCUCUCCGGUACGAAAAUUGUCAUCCCCUCCUUCUCUUCUUCAANNCCUUCUCUUCUUCAAUUUAUGACAUUUUCCCUUUUUUCUUUGUUUUGAGUUCAACGAAGACCCUGUGAAUCCAAUCGGUAGGAGGAAGAUUUUAAGCACUUAUUCCAGAAAAACAAGGUUGUUGAUGUAAGUGCUCAAUUCAAACUCUUCAAUUUUUUCAUUUUUUAAUUUAUUCCAUGUUAAGAUAAUAAUGGUGGUGAUUUCUCUAUGUUUUGUAACUUCUGUAUAUUAUGAUAAAAAAAUUGUCACUUUGAUCUAACUUUAAAAAAACCCCUUUGUUUGACACUAAUAUUUUCGUCAAAUUAGACUUGUCCAGGAUACUAUUAUUAUUAGAUUCGUUAGGUAUACUAUUAUUCUUAUUGAGAUUUGUGUUUCAUAUCUCGAAUUUGAUUGAUUAAUGUAUGUAUUUGGUCAAAUUUCAAUUUACAUUGCAGACAUGUUUGAGGCUUAAUCUGAUUUAGGCCUGUUUGUUUCAGAUUUUCCAGCAAAAAAAUCUAUUUUUUUUAAAAAAAAUGACUUUUUUUUUAUUUUACUUGUGUUUGUUUCAGAAUUUUUGAAAAAUCAUUUUUUUUCUUCAAAAUGAAAAGCUAUUUUCAAUAGCUUUCUUCAAAAUCUAUUUUUUUGAAAACCAUUUUCUAAAAAAAUAGAUUGUUGUGAUUGUAAACAAACAAAAAAUAGCUUUAGAUUUUCUUCAGAAUCUCUACAAAAAAAUCUCUAGAAUUUUUUCAAAAAAAAUCAUUUUUUUUAAAGCUUAAACAAACAGGCCCUUAACUAUCUAUUUUCUCCAUUUUUCACUAUUUUUUGACACUAUAUCUUCUAAUUUUACAAUCCUUGAACAACCAUGUCACUUCUUCUUUGAAAUAGAGUUAUUACAUUUUCUCCUUUUUCAGAUGCCUUCCAUAGAAAAUCAUUUGCACAUGGCUCUCCACUAUUUUCUGUAUCAUGUUUUCAAGCUAACUGCUAUCUUUCUUUCAUUGAUAGAUGAUAUAUUAAUGCAUAUAUAUGUCUUUAUCAUUACUUUAGAUGGAAGAAAUUUGUAGACCUAGUGGGCGACCUAAAGGAUCUAUAUAUCGAAGACAAUCAAAUCUACGUUUGAUGGACCUCGCAACAAUUGGAAAUGUUGUUACGAUAAAAUAAACAAAAUGUGGUUUAAUGAGUAUCCGGUAAUGUGUGUUGUUUAUUUUCUAUCAUUUCAUAUAAUGUUAUAACUUCAAAUUAUGCAGAAACUAUUAAUGAACAGAAGUACUAAUACCAUGG
rnacentral:lncRNA from 1 species